rnacentral:rRNA from 1 species
GAUGAACGCUGGCGGCGUGCCUAAUACAUGCAAGUCGAGCGAACGGACGAGAAGCUUGCUUCUCUGAUGUUAGCGGCGGACGGGUGAGUAACACUUGGAUAACCUACCUAUAAGACUGGGAUAACUUCGGGAAACCGGAGCUAAUACCGGAUGAUAUUUUGAACCGCAUGGUUCAAAAGUGAAAGACGGUCUUGCUGUCACUUAUAGAUGGAUCCGCGCUGCAUUAGCUAGUUGGUAAGGUAACGGCUUACCAAGGCAACGAUGCAUAGCCGACCUGAGAGGGUGAUCGGCCACACUGGAACUGAGACACGGUCCAGACUCCUACGGGAGGCAGCAGUAGGGAAUCUUCCGCAAUGGGCGAAAGCCUGACGGAGCAACGCCGCGUGAGUGAUGAAGGUCUUCGGAUCGUAAAACUCUGUUAUUAGGGAAGAACAUAUGUGUAAGUAACUGUGCACAUCUUGACGGUACCUAAUCAGAAAGCCACGGCUAACUACGUG